UCAGAGGAAAUGGAACACGAC
rnacentral:piRNA from 1 species